rnacentral:rRNA from 1 species
AACGCGAAGAACCUUACCUACUCUUGACAUGGUGCGAAUCUGACAGAGAUGUUGGAGUGCCGAAAGGAACGCACACACAGGUGCUGCAUGGCUGUCGUCAGCUCGUGUCGUGAGAUGUUGUCUUAAGUGACGCAACGAGCGCAACCCUUGCCUUUAGUUACCAUCAUUUAGUUGGGGACUCUAGAGGGACUGCUGAUCACUGAUCAGAGGAAGGGGGGAUGACGUCAAGUCAUCAUGGCCCUUACGAGUAGGGCUACACACGUACUACAAUGGUCGAUACAGAGGGAAGCAAUACCGCGAGGUGGAGCCAAUCCCAGAAAGCCGAUCGUAGUCCGGAUUGCAGUCUGCAACUCGACUGCAUGAAGCCGGAAUCGCUAGUAAUCGCAGAUCAGAAUGCUGCGGUGAAUACGUUCCCGGGCCUUGUACACACCGAGACGUA